UACGUAGGUGGCAAGCGUUGUCCGGAUUUAUUGGGCCUAAAGCAUCCGUAGCCGGUUCUGCAAGUCUUCCGUUAAAUCCACCUACUUAACAGAUGGGCUGCGGAAGAUACUAUAGAGCUAGGAGGCGGGAGAGGCAAGCGGUACUCGAUGGGUAGGGGUAAAAUCCGUUGAUCCAUUGAAGACCACCAGUGGCGAAGGCGGCUUGCCAGAACGCGCUCGACGGUGAGGGAUGAAAGCUGGGGGAGCAAACCGG
rnacentral:rRNA from 1 species